rnacentral:rRNA from 1 species
UACGGAGGGGGCGAGCGUUAUUCGGAAUCAUUGGGCGUAAAGAGCGCGCAGGCGGUCGAAUAAGUCGAAUGUGAAAGCCCCCGGCUCAACUGGGGAGGGUCAUUCGAUACUGUUCGACUUGAGGCAGGAGAGGGAGCAGAAUUCCCGGUGUAGUGGUGAAAUGCGUAGAUAUCGAGAGGAACACCUGCGGCGAAGGCGGGUUGCUGGGCUGACACUGACGCUGAUGCGCGAAAGCUAGGGGAGCGAACGGG